UUCUAUCAAGAUCUAAUUUUGUUUAAUUUUCUACCAAGAUCUAUAAUUCAGUUUAGAUUUUUCUGUCAGUUUGAUGUAUCGUUCGCUAAGUCAAUAAAAUUAAGUGUUUAUAAUGCAUUCAGUUUAGUUUUCUAUCAAAAUAUAAUUUAGUACUCCCUCCGUCCCAAAAUUCUUGUCGGAGAAAUGGAUAAAAUUGGAUGUAUCUAUAAUUAAAAUACGUCUAGAUUCAUCCAUUUCCCCGACAAGUAUUUCCGGACGGAGGGAGUAUGAACCAAUGUAAUCAAGUGGUGAAUAAUUUCAUCAAAUAGGAGACAUUAUUUCUGUUAUUGUAUUAAUAUGGCGACAUGUUCUGUUCAAAGUUUUCUCCAUACACUUCUGUACAUAUUGUAAACUGCAACUCGGUGAAUAUAUAUAACCAGAAUUAAGUUAAUCUGAAUCUAAGAAGAAAAUUACAUCGGUACAGUGUGGCAGUCCUACAGUUAUAAUAUAGAGGUUUGAGCCUGUUCAUUUGUUUACUAAGGACAUGUAGUACUGCUACUAUUAGUUGUGCGCCUACUAGUACUAGAACAAAUGCCACGUUAGUUCACUCUCCCUCAACCUGGAGGCACACACCAAGCUAGAACUUGCCAACACUGUGACACACAUUUCUUCUUCAACUUGUGUUGCCUCCAAGCCAGGUCGCCCUCCGCAAUAGUUUUGCUGACAAGUAAGGGUUGAUGUCUACUGUCUGAUCCUAAAUCUGUUCCCUGAUGUUUUCCCUUUUUUACGAUCAAUUAACACUGUAAUCUCCCUGAUUAUGAUCUCUGUUUUUUGAGAUGUAGGUCUAGGUGGUGCUGUAGAAGUCGUGCCGCUGCAUGGCGCAUAAUAGAGCUCGAGAGGGCGGCUGCGAUAACUAUAGUGGAGCUGCUCCGUGAUCAAACCAGGGGUAUGAUUUGGUAGCGGGCUUCUUGGUGCUGGCCAUCACAAUCCUCUAUGACAUGAUACUUACCAUCAGGAGGGCCGACGACAAGAACCUGAAUAAUAACCUCAAUAGUAUCAUAUGUUCUGUUGUUGUAAAUUGGAUUGUACUGGUUCCUGACCUUGUUGUGUGAUACAUUUUGUCAAUAUAUUCUGUAAAUUAUCGUUUCAUGGAGGAUUUUGUAAACUGAUGUGGUGUAGAUACCAAUGGAUGACUGCAUAUUGAAUAUCCGUGUAAUAUAUGAUCACACUUUGGAAA